UGGGAUCUGAAAACAGAAAGAAGACAGUCCUGGGACUCUUAAGUGAUAAGGGAUGCAUGAGGGGCAAGUGCAUUCGUGGAGGGAGCAGUCCUGGGUGCAGUUCCUAGCCUGACUAGAUCCUGAAGACAGCCCUGGUGUUGUCCAGCUUGCCCAGCUUGUCCCAGCUAGCACUCAGCCUGUAAUACAGGACUGUCUAUCUGAGAUCACAUACAGGAGACCUAAUGCAUGGGAUGUGACAAUAAUACUGGUUGGCAAGAAAUUCCCAGCUAAACACUGUGCUGGCAUCCUGAAGUCCUGGUUAUCUGGGAGGCCAAGGAAGAAGGGUCAUGUGAUGGAGCUCAGUAGUUCAAGAUCAGCCUGGGCAACAGAGCAAACCCCCAGAUGGAAGGAUGGAUGGAUGGAUGGAUGGAUGGAUGGAUGGAUGGAUGGAUGGAUGGAUGGAUGGUGGGUGGGUGGACGGACAGAUGAACAGAUGGAUGGACAGAUGGGCAGGUAGAUGGACAGUAGGCAGGCAGGCUGACUUCCAAUGGCUCUUGCUACCAUUGCUGUCAGUUGAGUGGAGAUUGGGCUCAUAGGACCAAGGACACCUGUGGCCCCUCUGCUCUCCCGACACCCAGUACUGAGCCAAUUACUCUACUCCUGCCAAGGCUGCCCUGGUCACCAGGUGCAGCUCCUUAAACUCUUGUGUUCUGCAGCUGUUGCUCUGACCUCAGCUUCCCAGUAACCCCUGCCCGUUCUGUUUGGGUCCUCUAGCCUCUAAAACACAAGAAGAAUGAGAGAUCCCUCUAGAUCACCAGAGAUAAUGGUGAGGACCAGGCUAAGAAUCUCACACAGCCAUCAGGAUCUAAUGACAACAAAGGGCUUAAACAGCCAACACUUAGAGAGGGCUCCAGAGGCCUGUGUCUGUUUUAGCAAUGUAAAUCCAAGAUGUCACAAGCCCAGGUUCUAACACAUCCAGCUGAUUUGCAUUUUUAUACCAAAUCAGUUCUCCUAAUUAAAAUGGUUCAAUAUCCCUGAGUUCUCCGGCCCUCAUACAUUUGUAGGAAUUAUUUAUGCCACCUUCUGCCCCUACCCAAAUGAUCUCAUCACUCCUUCUAAAUCACUGUAUUCAAGUUCUUCAUUAUUUUGGCUGCUUUUUAGAAUUCAGCCCCAUUUUUCAACACUUUUCAGAGUGUUGCUUAACGACAGCACUAAAAAUUCUUGACAUUUAUAGUACUUUCUACAUCUCACUACUAUAGUCUUUAGUGUUAAAAAAAAUCCUCCACUUUGCUGCUUUAAAUAUCCCUUUGGAUUAAAGCGUAUCACAGUUCGUGUCACAGAGAACCAGAAAAGCUGUUGAGAAUCUGUCUCCUACUACCUCUUAUCAGAAAUCGCUCACGUGCCCUGGCAGGGGUUUUAACAUUAAGUGCAGACAAGGUUGAGGUCCAAGGUCAGCCUUGGUGACAAUGUCACACCAGUCCUCAGGCACUUUGCUCUCCCAUGUGCCAUCAAAGCUCACUGAGGAAGUUGGCCUGGGUCCAACUGGAGAUCAGUAGACUCGGACCAGAGUCUAUGCUGUGCUGGCUGUCCCGCCCUCUGUGGCUCCUCCCCACAUUUCCAUUUACCCACAUCUUACUAAGCUUCAGAGGCACUGGGGUUAUAGCUCAGAGUACAGAUUCUGUCACCUACUGGAUGGGCUACACCAGUCAAGUGGCUUCUCUGUGCUCUCAAUUCCUCUGUCUGUCAGUAGCUCAUGACAUUGCUAUAAUGAUCAAAUGAGUCACUAGGUAUCAAAUACAUGGACCACUAGACUGCAUGUGGCGCAAUUUAGCUGCCACUGACUUCACUAAGUCCCUCCUUGCCCUGGUCCCUGCCCCACUCACUGGAGGCUGGCACGGGGUUUGAGCCAAGCACUGCACUUUCGCUUGUGCUGUACCUCAGUCUCCUCAAGGGCCAAGCCCCUGAGAAUGUGUAGCCUCCGGCCAGCCUAUCCAGGGAGACUACUGCACUUCGCAGAAAGCGUGACUGGGGAAGUGGCCCACUCCUCCACACUCUGCUUCUCCUUGGAGCGCUUCUCAUCCUAACUUCCAGCUUCCUGUUUCAACCCCGCCUCUUCUCUAAACCAUGGGUUCUGUGGGCAUUUUCCCCGCCUCUUCUCUGAACCAUGGGUUCUGUGGGCAUUUUCCCCGCCUCUUCUCUGAACCAUGGGUUCUGUGGGUAUUUUGAAUCUAGCAUGACUUGUGAAUUAGAAACGUCACUGCUAAGAUUUGUCUGCCCAGCUGGAAUCCACAAAUCUUUGUUCAUGAAGCAGAAGAGCAGCGAAGGAUCUGAAGACGGAGAGGGACAUCUUCCAGACAGCUCCAGCAGCCCCUGGGGUAGGCCCGAGCUGGCUUACCACCAGGACAUGGCCUUUGACUAUGACACCAGAAGCAGAUUCGAGUGACUGCCCUGACCUGACUCACCAGAGCACUGGUCGUUUUAACUGGCCACGAGGAGGCUGGCUUUUCUGAAGGGACACCAGGAAGUGAAGAACACAGAAGCUGAAUGGUGGAGCAGCUCUGGCCGCAGGCACCUGAGUUAUAAAAAGUCC